ACGCAAUAGAUACCCGGGUAGUCCACGCCCUAAACGAUGUCUACUAGUUGUUGGGAGAGUAAAAUCUCUUAGUAAACGCAGCUAAACGCGUGAAGUAGACCGCCUGGGGAGUACGGUCGCAAGAUUAAAACUCAAAGGAGUUGACGGGGGCCCGGCACAAGCGGUGGAUUAUGUGGAUUAAUUCGAUGCAACGCGAAAAACCUUAACCUGGCCUUGACAUGCUACUAACGAAGCAGAGAUGCAUUAGGUGCCCGAAACGGGAAAGUAGACACAGGUGCUGCAUGGCUGUCGUCAGCUCGUGUCGUGAGAUGUUGGG
rnacentral:rRNA from 1 species